rnacentral:rRNA from 1 species
ACGGGUGAGUAACACGUGGGCAAUCUGCCCUGCACUCUGGGAAGGGCGUUCGGGUCUAAACCGGAACAGUUUCACCGGCAACGGUGAUUCUGGAAAGCUCCGGCGGUGCAGGAUGAGCCCGCGGCCUAUCAGCUUGUUGGUGAGGUAACGGCUCACCAAGGCGACGACGGGUAGCCGGCCUGAGAGGGCGACCGGCCACACUGGGACUGAGACACGGCCCAGACUCCUACGGGAGGCAGCAGUGGGGAAUAUUGCACAAUGGGCGAAAGCCUGAUGCAGCGACGCCGCGUGAGGGAUGACGGCCUUCGGGUUGUAAACCUCUUUCAGCAGGGAAGAAGCGAAAGUGACGGUACCUGCAGAAGAAGCGCCGGCUAACUACGUGCCAGCAGCCGCGGUAAUACGUAGGGCGCAAGCGUUGUCCGGAAUUAUUGGGCGUAAAGAGCUCGUAGGCGGCUUGUCACGUCGGUUGUGAAAGCCCGGGGCUUAACCCCGGGUCUGCAGUCGAUACGGGCAGGCUAGAGUUCGGUAGGGGAGAUCGGAAUUCCUGGUGUAGCGGUGAAAUGCGCAGAUUCAGGAGGAACACCGGUGGCGAAGGCGGAUCUCCGGGCCGAUACUGACGCUUAAGGAGCGUAAGCGUGGGGAGCGAACAGGAUUAAGAUCCCC